rnacentral:rRNA from 1 species
AACGAACGCUGGCGGCAUGCCUAACACAUGCAAGUCGAACGAGACCUUCGGGUCUAGUGGCGCACGGGUGCGUAACGCGUGGGAAUCUGCCCUUGGGUUCGGAAUAACAGUUGGAAACGACUGCUAAUACCGGAUGAUGACGUAAGUCCAAAGAUUUAUCGCCCAAGGAUGAGCCCGCGUAGGAUUAGCUAGUUGGUGAGGUAAAGGCUCACCAAGGCGACGAUCCUUAGCUGGUCUGAGAGGAUGAGCAGCCACACUGGGACUGAGACACGGCCCAGACUCCUACGGGAGGCAGCAGUGGGGAAUAUUGGACAAUGGGCGAAAGCCUGAUCCAGCAAUGCCGCGUGAGUGAUGAAGGCCUUAGGGUUGUAAAGCUCUUUUACCCGGGAUGAUAAUGACAGUACCGGGAGAAUAAGCUCCGGCUAACUCCGUG